rnacentral:piRNA from 2 species
UGCAACAGGUGUACUUUAGUUAGGUGUGC